rnacentral:rRNA from 1 species
AUGUCAUCGCCGCCGGCACCGGUAUUCGAGAGGCUGGCCGGGAUCCGGCCCCUCGCCGAGUCCGGCCGCUUCAAGGCAUGGUUCCUGGACCAGUUCGGUGUUCUUCAUGACGGGAAGAAACCCUACCCGGGCGCCAUUUUGGCAUUGGAGAAGCUCGCUGGGAAUGGCGCCAAGAUGGUGAUAAUCAGCAAUUCCUCAAGGCGGUCGUCUGUAACCAUGGAGAAGCUGCAGAGCCUUGGGUUUGACACGUCUUGUUUCCUCGGGGCGAUCACCAGCGGGGAACUCACCCAUCAGUACCUUGACAAGAGGGAUGACCCAUGGUUUGCAUCUCUGGGAAGGAAGUGUGUCCAUCUGACAUGGGGCAAUCGAGGUGCAAUUUCUCUGGAGGGACUUGGUUUGCAAGUUGUGAACAAUGUUGACGAUGCAGAGUUUAUACUAGCCCAUGGUACUGAAGCCCUGGGUUUACCUUCUGGUGAUCCACUUUCGAAAAGUCUUGAGGAGCUUGAGCAGAUUCUAGUGCUUGGUAUACAAAAGCGACUUCCAAUGGUGGUAGCUAAUCCAGAUUAUGUCACUGUUGAAGCUCGAAACCUGCGUGUCAUGCCUGGCACCCUGGCAGCAAAAUACGAGAGUCUUGGUGGUGAAGUAAAAUGGAUGGGGAAGCCUGAUAAGGUUAUCUAUACAUCAGCAAUGUCCCUAGCAGGUGUUGAAGCACAUGAAUGUAUCACCGUAGGUGAUUCGCUGCACCACGACAUCAAAGGCGCAAAUGGAGCCGGAAUGGCAUCUGCAUUCAUCACUGGAGGUAUCCAUGCGGCUGAACUUGGACUCGGUGAAUUUGGAGAAACUGCUGGAGAUGAUGCCGUCAGUGCGUUGUGUUGCAAGCAUAGCUCAUACCCAUCUUACGUUUUGCCUUCAUUUGCAUGGUAG